ACAGCAGUAGCCGCGGUAAUACAGAGGGUGCGAGCGUUAAUCGGAUUUACUGGGCGUAAAGCGUGCGUAGGCGGCUUUUUAAGUCGGAUGUGAAAUCCCUGAGCUUAACUUAGGAAUUGCAUUCGAUACUGGGAAGCUAGAGUAUGGGAGAGGAUGGUAGAAUUUUAGGUGUAGCGGUGAAAUGCGUAGAGAUCUGGAGGAAUACCGAUGGCGAAGGCAGCCAUCUGGCCUAAUACUGACGCUGAGGUACGAAAGCAUGGGGAGCAAACAGGAUUAGAUACCCGAGUAGUCCCUGUCUCUUAUAC
rnacentral:rRNA from 1 species